CGGGACGUAGCGCAGGGGUAGCGCACUACUCUGGGGGAGUAGGGGUCGCUGGUUCAAAUCCAGUCGUCCCGACCA
rnacentral:tRNA from 2 species